UUUGUGCCAGCAUCUGCGGUUAGACUUAUUUUACGUGUAUUCAUUUGUAGGUGUUAGGUAAAGUGAGGUUAAAUAUUUUUUGGUGGAAUAAGGACAAUAGUUUUUGUUAGUUCUGAUGAGUGUUAUUGUAAGACUAGGAUUAGAUACCCUAUUAUUUUAUUAUUUAGUUCUCCUAAUGAGUUUAAAAUUAAAAAAUUUGGCGGCCUGUUGUUUUUAGAGGAAUUUGCCUAUAAACGAUAAACCUCGUUGUGUCUUACUUACUUAUAUUUUGUAUACCGUUAUUUAGGUAAUUUUGGUAGAAUUAAUUUCCGUAAUAUUGUUUAGGAUGCUAAAUCAAGGUGCAGGGAUAUGUGAGUCGGAGUUAAUUACAAUAUUUAUUUAAUAGGCGGAUAGUUAAGCAAGAUUUUAUUUGAAGUUGGAUUUAAUUGUAAAAAUUAUAUUAGUGAAUAUAGCCCAAUAGGUGUACAAAUUGCCCGUCAUUCUCUUUGAGACAAGUCGAAACAAAGUAGAUUUAUCUGAAGAUGACUCU
rnacentral:rRNA from 1 species